rnacentral:rRNA from 1 species
UACGGAGGGUGCGAGCGUUGUCCGGAUUUAUUGGGCGUAAAGAGCGUGUAGGCGGCCAGGUAGGUCUGCUGUGAAAACUCGAGGCUUAACCUCGAGCUGUCGGCGGAAACCAUCUGGCUAGAGUCCGGAAGAGGAGAAUGGAAUUCCCGGUGUAGCGGUGAAAUGCGCAGAUAUCGGGAAGAACACCCGUGGCGAAGGCGGUUCUCUGGGACGGUACUGACGCUGAGACGCGAAAGCGUGGGGAGCGAACAGG